GAUAUAUCAAUAAGGCUUUCUUGUAUCAGAUAUAUCCAGCAAUAAGGCUUUCUUGUAUCAGAUAUAUCCAGCAAUAAGGCUUUCUUGUAUCAGAUAUAUCCAGCAAUAAGGCUUUCUUGUAUCAGAUAUAUCCAGCAAUAAGGCUUUCUUGUAUCAGAUAUAUCCAGCAAUAAGGCUUUCUUGUAUCAGAUAUAUCCAGCAAUAAGGCUUUCUUGUAUCAGAUAUAUCCAGCAAUAAGGCUUUCUUGUGUCAGAUAUAUCCAGCAAUAAGGCUUUCUUGUGUCAGAUAUAUCCAGCAAUAAGGCUUUCUUGUGUCAGAUAUAUCCAGCAAUAAGGCUUUCUUGUGUCAGAUAUAUCCAGCAAUAAGGCUUUCUUGUGUCAGAUAUAUCCAGCAAUAAGGCUUUCUUGUGUCAGAUAUAUCCAGCAAUAAGGCUUUCUUGUAUCAGAUAUAUCCAGCAAUAAGGCUUUCUUGUAUCAGAUAUAUCCAGCAAUAAGGCUUUCUUGUGUCAGAUAUAUCCAGCAAUCAAAUGAAUAGUCAAUACUGUCAGUAGUCCAAAGGUCAAAGUCAAAAAGAGAUUCAGUUCAACAAAAAAUGUCCUUUAAAUCCAGGAUUCCCAAGAUUCAAUUCAGUUCUUUCCCAAAAAAGGUAAAUCCACAAAAAAUAUCAAUUAUAUUCCAAUAGUAAGAGCAGGAGAGUCGAUCAACAAUUCACAUUCAAUCAGAUACUCUCAUCAUUCCGUGGUGUUGAAUGGAAGUCCUUAAAUCCAGUCAUUUCCCUUUUUAUGGCAAAUAAUCCAGUGGAACAGGUUUAAACUACACCAUUACGGCGCUAUUUUACUUGCAAAGUUUUCAAAAAAGCAUUUUCUCUUUGUUCCUCACACCAUAGCCUAGCCACACACACACACAUGACCACAUACUUAAAUUGACAGGUAUCAUUUCUGGCCAAUCAACAGAUUAUCCACUUUGUGGCACUUACAUCAUGGUAAGGAAUACAUGCAUGACCAUUAAUUCUGUUUCGUAUCACAUUUAAUGUGGCAACGUUACACGCGUUAGUUUAUUUGAAUUUUGUUUAGUAAGUAAAGUCCAAAGCUGCCCUCUUCUACUCUGCAUAUUUCUGAUCUUCCACCUGUCCUCUCUUCUAUUUAAGAACACAAUUAUUGCUCGCAAGUGUUGUGCACAUGUCAAGAUAUUAGGUAAACAAGCAGAGGAAUUUCCAUGCCCUGAACGUACCGUAGGCCUACUGUAUUUUAACUGAAUAUAUAUUUAACUGAUCAUGUAUUUUAACUGAAUUUGCUUGUUUGCAUGCUUAUAUUGACAUGAUCAUUUUCCCUUGUUGUACAUGAAUCAUAGUGUAUGUGGUUUGUGUGUUGUUUGUGUGUUGUAUGUAAGAAGUUUGGAUAAAAGCCUUUAUAUAUUUUGCAAAAAACCCUC
ensembl:lncRNA